UACGGGGGGGGCAAGCGCUGUUCGGAAUUACUGGGCGUAAAGGGCUCGUAGGCGGCCAACUAAGUCAGACGUGAAAUCCCUCGGCUUAACCGGGGAACUGCGUCUGAUACUGGAUGGCUUGAGUUUGGGAGAGGGAUGCGGAAUUCCAGGUGUAGCGGUGAAAUGCGUAGAUAUCUGGAGGAACACCGGUGGCGAAGGCGGCAUCCUGGACCAACACUGACGCUGAGUGAGCGAAAGCCAGGGGAGCAAACGGG
rnacentral:rRNA from 1 species